rnacentral:rRNA from 1 species
UACGGGGGGGGGCAAGCGUUGUUCGGAAUUACUGGGCGUAAAGGGCUCGUAGGCGGCCAACUAAGUCGGACGUGAAAUCCCUCGGCUCAACCGGGGAACUGCGUCCGAUACUGGAUGGCUUGAGUUCGGGAGAGGGAUGCGGAAUUCCAGGUGUAGCGGUGAAAUGCGUAGAUAUCUGGAGGAACACCGGUGGCGAAGGCGGCAUCCUGGACCGAUACUGACGCUGAGGAGCGAAAGCCAGGGGAGCAAACGGG